GGAUGUGAGGGCGAUCUGGCUUUGACAUCUGUCGCCCCAUUGAUUGCCAGGGGUGAUUCGGCUGAUCUGGCUGGCUAGGCGGGUGUCCCCGUCUUCCCUCACCGCUCCACGUGCAUCCCUCCCAAAGCUGCGCACUUGAUUGAAGGGGACGACCACCCCCAAUACAGGAGGACCAUUCUUCUCAGUCAAGGGGAUAGGAAUAGCUGCGUUCCCCUGCUAGAGCCUCCAAUCAAGCUCUCAGGAAAAGAUGUGGAAAAUAUAAAAUGAAGACCCAACUCGAACUUGCAGU
rfam:Camelus ferus unplaced genomic scaffold scaffold490, whole genome shotgun sequence.